rnacentral:tRNA from 8 species
GUGAGCAUAGUUCAGUUGGUUAGAACGUCGGAUUGUGGUUCCGAAGGUCGUGGGUUCGAAUCCCACUGUUCACCCCA